rnacentral:rRNA from 1 species
GGGUGCGAUCAUACCAGCGUUGAUGCACCGGAUCCCAUCAGAACUCCGCAGUUAAGCGUGCUUGGGCCAGAGUAGUACUGGGAUGGGUGACCUCCCGGGAAGUUCUGGUGUUGCACCCU